UACGUAGGGGGCAAGCGUUGUCCGGAUUUAUUGGGCGUAAAGAGCGUGUAGGCGGCUAGAUAGGUCCGUUGUGAAAACUCGAGGCUCAACCUCGAGACGCCGAUGGAAACCAUCCAGCUAGAGUCCGGAAGAGGAGAGUGGAAUUCCCGGUGUAGCGGUGAAAUGCGCAGAUAUCGGGAGGAACACCGAUGGCGAAGGCAGCUCGCUGGGACGGUACUGACGCUGAGGCGCGAAAGCGUGGGGAGCGAACAGG
rnacentral:rRNA from 1 species